UUUCAGUUGUGAGGAAGGUAGUGUAGUUAAUAGCUGCAUUAUUUGACGUUAGCGACAGAAGAAGCACCGGCUAACUCCGUGCCAGCAGCCGCGGUAAUACGGAGGGUGCGAGCGUUAAUCGGAAUUACUGGGCGUAAAGCGCAUGCAGGUGGUUUGUUAAGUCAGAUGUGAAAGCCCGGGGCUCAACCUCGGAAUUGCAUUUGAAACUGGCAGACUAGAGUACUGUAGAGGGGGGUAGAAUUUCAGGUGUAGCGGUGAAAUGCGUAGAGAUCUGAAGGAAUACCGGUGGCGAAGGCGGCCCCCUGGACAGAUACUGACACUCAGAUGCGAAAGCGUGGGGAGCAAACAGGAUUAGAUACCCUGGUAGUCCACGCCGUAAACGAUGUCUACUUGGAGGUUGUGGCCUUGAGCCGUGGCUUUCGGAGCUAACGCGUUAAGUAGACCGCCUGGGGAGUACGGUCGCAAGAUUAAAACUCAAAUGAAUUGACGGGGGCCCGCACAAGCGGUGGAGCAUGUGGUUUAAUUCGAUGCAACGCGAAGAACCUUACCUACUCUUGACAUCCAGAGAACUUUCCAGAGAUGGAUUGGUGCCUUCGGGAACUCUGAGACAGGUGCUGCAUGGCUGUCGUCAGCUCGUGUUGUGAAAUGUUGGGUUAAGUCCCGCAACGAGCGCAACCCUUAUCCUUGUUUGCCAGCGAGUAAUGUCGGGAACUCCAGGGAGACUGCCGGUGAUAAACCGGAGGAAGGUGGGGACGACGUCAAGUCAUCAUGGCCCUUACGAGUAGGGCUACACACGUGCU
rnacentral:rRNA from 1 species